GUGAAUCAUCAAAUCUUUGAACGCAAAUUGCACUCUCUUCGGAGAGUACGACUGUUUGAGGGUCAGUAUCAAUAAAAAUCGGUGUGUUGCUUCUUUGUGAUGGAAAGGGGGUUGGGUCAUCUUAAUAUCCUUCAGGUUUUAAGAGGCUCAAAAUUGACUUUUUUUGAGCAUUUUAGUUGUACAUCAAUUCUUUUUUAUAUUCGUCUGUCUUAAUGCUCAAAAUCCUAUUAGAUGCGUCCAUAUCGUGUGGACUCGUGUCUAUAACUUUUUCAUGAUUAGUCCUC
rnacentral:misc_RNA from 1 species